rnacentral:rRNA from 1 species
CGCGGCCUAUCAGCUUGUUGGUGGGGUAACGGCCCACCAAGGCUACGACGGGUAGCUGGUUUGAGAGAAUGAUCAGCCACACUGGGACUGAGACACGGCCCAGACUCCUACGGGAGGCAGCAGUGGGGAAUCUUGCGCAAUGGGCGAAAGCCUGUCGCAGCAACGCCGCGUGCGGGAAGAAGGCCUUUGGGUUGUAAACCGCUUUCAGCAGGGACGAGACUGACGGUACCUGCAGAAGAAGGUCCGGCUAACUACGUGCCAGCAGCCGCGGUAAUACGUAGGGGCCAAGCGUUGUCCGGAUUUAUUGGGCGUAAAGAGCUCGUAGGCGGUUCUGUAAGUCGAGUGUGAAAAAUCUGGGCUCAACCCAGUGGAGCACUCGAUACUGCAGUGACUGGAGUCCGGUAGGGGAGUGUGGAAUUCCUGGUGUAGCGGUGAAAUGCGCAGAUAUCAGGAGGAACACCAACAGCGAAGGCAGCACUCUGGGCCGGUACCGACGCUGAGGAGCGAAAGCGUGGGGAGCGAACAGGAUUAGAUACCCUGGUAGUCCACGCCGUAAACGGUGGGCACUAGGUGUGGGGAGGAGUCAGCCCUCUCCGUGCCGCAGCUAACGCAUUAAGUGCCCCGCCUGGGGAGUACGGA